CUGCCCAAGGGAGGGGCUCGUAGACACAGCAGUGUCUACACUGGCAGUGAGCCGGCGUGACAGGGAGUGACGCCAUGCACGACGGUCACGGACACCCUCGAACACACAGUGGCACGGAAUCAGAAGCGGUUCUAAUUAGGGUUCUCCAUAAGACAGAAAUUACCUUCAGCAGCACCCGGUUUUCUGGAAAAACAAUGAACAAUUAAUUCUUUUUUUCCAAACUAGGCUUAUCCAAGCAGAGGGAAAUACAGGCCACCAAGGUUUUCAGAGAAAAAAAGAAAAAGAUUAAAGACAACCAAUCGACAAUUGCGUAUAUUUUAUUACAAAAACAAAACUCCGGGUGUCUGUGAAAUUCAAAUUUUUCCCAAGGGAAAUUAACGAAUAUCAUUAAAACUGAGUCCAGUUUAUAAGGA